CUCUGCAUCGACCCAAUAGAAUAUUUGAUUUGUGUUGCUGUAAAAGGCACUGUCGUCUGCCAGAUUGAGGUGAACAUUUUGGAACUGACAUAGUCAAAUACAAGCAGGGCCAAAAUAUUCUGAGGCUUCCACACUUCCUGCCCCCGCUUCCCCCUUCCUGUCUUCUCUGAGGCAGGCAUGCAGAUGGGCUAGGAUUUGACACACUGACAGUGGUGGGUCUGUAUCCAGCAGUUUCCCUCCCUACCACCCACCCACUACCCUUACAGCACUCGCUGUUCUCCCAGCCUCUGUCCCCCUUAAGCCACUUCUCACCACUCAGCAGAGUGCUUUCUUUUCUGCUGUUGGCGUUGCCAGCAUUGCUGCUCCACUCUGCUCCUUCUUGGGUAGAGCUGGAUCAGAGAAAGAAGACAGGGGUGACAGGACCCAAUUUUGACAGGAAAGUUCAGUCCCAAUUUCUUUGCUGCUGACUGCAUCCGCCUGCAGGGAGCCUGCCUCUGCUCUUGGCACUCCCGUGGGGCACUCUCCUCAAAGGACCUCAGAUGGACAGAAUUCAACUCAUCACAUUUCUUGGUUCUUGACACGCUCUCCUCGUUAGUCCAUCACAUAUUGCACGGAUUCAUUCAUAUCGCUGCAUGUAGGCUGCUUUGACCUGCUGUAGAAUAUCUCAUUGUGUGGAUGCACAUGUGGAUCACUGAGUAUGUCAGAGCUGGCAAGAUACGUCAGAAGAGAAAGGAGAAACUCUUAACUAAAUAGAGUUGGAAAUAAAAUAAUUGUCUGUAUGGAAUAAGAUCAAAGGUCCCACAUGUUAAAGUCAACCCCAGAUGAAUUAAAGUCUUACAUGUCAAAAAAAAUUGAAACUUUUAGAAGAAAAUUAAGGUGGAUAUAUUUUAGACCUUAAGGUAGAGAAAGAUUUCUUAAAGAAGACACUUACAGGAUUGAUUACAAACAAAAAGACUGGUACAUUUGAAUGUAUUAUGUUAAGAACUUUUCCACCAAAAGAAAGCCUCGAUUUCCUCAUUUUUAAGAUGAGGAUAAUAAUCCCUACCUUAUAGAAUUCUAAUAAGAUGAAAUGAAGCAACAUAUACAAAAUACUUAGCACAGAUCCUAACACCUACAAAAUAAUAAAUGGUAACGAUUAUUAUUCUUCUCAAACAACAAUCCUAUUAUUUAUCAAAUAAUACUGAGUAAUAUGACAAGACAUAUUUAAACCACACAAGCCAUAUGCAGACAAGUGUUUAAUAUCAUAGUGAUAGUUUCAAGAGAGAGAUAAUAAUUUAUUCUACAUUUAUCAGAGGUCUAUAGCCCAGUAGUCAAUAAAUACUUAUCUAUAGUCAAUAAGUACUAUCAAGCAUCCAUGCCAGGAACCAUGCUAGGGGCUGAUUAAUUUACAUCAAUCACCAUGACUUUUUUCCCACAAACUAACACACACACAAUCUUCAUAGAUUUUUCUGUGAUCACAGCAAGGAAAAGACCUACGCAUGUUUGGAUCAUCUGUGUACAGUCCUACAGAAGAACUUUGACACUAUCAGAGACAGAAAUCUCAGAAUAGUCCAACUCUCACUUAUUUGUGCUAAUGAAAGAGUAAAGUAAAAGAGACAAUUAAAAUGGGAAAUGUGUUUUGUUUUGUUUUGGUGUUUUGUUUUACAAGUAUGCAAAAACCUCAAAUCAACCUGACCCAACAAUAAGGAAGCAAGUCAGAAAAAGGCAGUCUUCCAGAGCUGUUUGUUCAGCAGCUCAGUAAUGCCAUGAAGGUUUGCUUCCUUUCUCUGCUUUGUGUUUCUGGAGAGAGUCCGCAUACAUUUCAAUAUGGCUGACAGCAGUUCUGGAAUGUAUAAAGCCUUGCAUAAAGAAAAUGACAGUUCACUAUGAAAAUCUGAUUCGGAUGAUGUUGAAAAUAGAUUUAGUGUCUGCUCUGCCUCUCUGUUUUCUAGGACUUCACCACCUCACAGACUUUGUACACUCAUGGUUCACAACUUCCUCACUGUGUUUUCUUUAACGAGUAGAAGAUAAAUAAGCUUUAAGAAAUAGUAAAUUAUAUCAAAAUAGACUUUAUCAUAUAAUUUGCCUAAUUAUGUACCUUCAGUAAGUGUUUAUUGAACUCUGGGGUGUCAACAAUUUUUUAUUCAGCUCUCAUAAGUAAUAUUUGCUUAGAAAUCUACCCAUAAAUAGGAUAACAACUUUCAUAAAACAAGAAUUUAUACCUAGCUAACAUGAAAAAGCUAAACAUCCCUUGAAGUACAAUUCUCCUGAAAAUCAUCCCAAUAUGGUUUAUUGAGGCUGAUGGAUUUGGACACCAGCUCUUAAGAAAAAAGAUAAAGAGGAAAGCUACUGCCUGCCACAACAUAUUCUUUUUCCCAAGAGCUGGUAAGUUUCUUCCAUAUGUGGAAUCCAAUAACGUUCGGAACAUUCUUUUCUCUUUCUGGUAAUGUGAUAUACCCAACGUGGGCCUAUGAUACAAGGAAGGAGAGUAGAUCAGGAGUCAAAAACCACAGGUCCUAGUUCUGGUUCUAUCAUUUCUUUGCUGUGAAAGUCUGGACCAGUGACUUCAUAGCUCUGAGUUUCUGUUGUGUCAUUCUUCAAGUCAGGUCAUCAUUUGCCUUCCCUACUUCACAGGUAGUAUACAGUAAUCUUUUCAAAAGCCCUUUAGAGGACAUAACACAACCUUAUGUUUAUUUUCUGCUAGAGCAUGACUCCCUUGAGGGCUUGGAGCAUGUCUUAAUCAAAUUUGUAUAUUCCACCAUUCCUACCCCAGACCUAUUAUUAGGUGCUCAAUAAAUGUUGAUUUUAAAUGACAGCUGUCAUGAAAUAAAUGAAAACAGAAGCCAACAGUGACGGUUUGAGCUGCCUGCUGGCUGGCAUGUGACACUUAACAUCUAAAGAGUGAUAGUGGCAGCUAAAGUGCGGAAGGAAUCCACUUUAUGAAACUAUCUGAGCAGUGAAGCACUGGAAAUCACAGAGUCUCCUUUUGGCUAUUUUACAUUUAGAUAUGAAAGCUUGUCAGGCUGGGCUGAGAAUAGACAAUGAGAAACUAACACAUUUCAACAGGUUUUGAAUAGUUUCCCAGUGAAGAAUUUUCCUGGCCUCUCUCCACCCUGGUUUUUAUCCCUCUUCUUGGGAGUUAUUUUUCGCAAAUGUACCCCAUGAUUGGCAAAUUUCAGAAGAAUAACUGGGGUUGGCUCAGUUCAGCUCCUCCCCGUCCUUCUCCUGAGUCUGCUUCCAAAGGCAAUCUGCAAGGGAGGAAUAAAGCAACUCAGGGAAGGGAAAAAGAGAUGUGAAGAAGGAAAGAAAUUGGAAGACCCAAAACAACAUGAUGGUUAGUAGAGCUAAUGAAAAUGAGGAAGCUCCAAUAAUAUCUGGUUUUUUUUCUCUGACUUUGUGAAAACCAUUUGUUAUUAUGAUACGACAAUGUAAUCAAUGGUACUCAGUAAAGUCAGUACCCCAAAAUUCGGCCAGGUGUCAUGGCUUUUUGUGUAUGGUUGUCCUGGGAAUUAAAGGAGAAGGAAGGGGCUGUGCCCCUGUAGGGGAGAUGAUGUGCAGAAACGGACGGUAUACACAGGAGGAAAGACAAUGAGAAAAGAUAAAGAAAGAAUUCACUAAAAGCAGGGACUUGGAGCUAGAGAAGCAACAAAAGACAUCCAUAAUUCUUGGAGAUAUUAGGGGAAUACUAGGCUUCCCAAGAAAAAGAUUCAAGCCAUUCUAUUGCACUGUCAGCUGGAAGGUGGUCCCAAAAGGCUGGGGAAAUUGGAGGCACUCAGGAAGCUGCUGUCUUGGUUACAGGCAUUCAUGUAUGGAUGAGGCUGGAGAAGGUAAAAGACAGAGGAAGAGAGUAGGGAGGCAGGUACAGAAAAGAGACUCAUUAUUACCUUUCUCUAUUGCAGGCUUCAGAAGGUGAACCCAGAGAGCAGGCUGUUUCUGUCCAUGGGAAAGCAGGAUGGUACAGCCCAUAUCUGAUUCAGAAACCAACAGUCAAACCAUUCUCCCCUGAGACUAAAGCAGAGAAUGAAGCCAUUUCCCAGAAAUUUGGGUAUUUAAAAAAUCACCCUGGCCUGGGUUACAGGGUAAUUGUCCCAUAUCUAUGUUUCACCUGCAGAUUCAUGGGACAGAAUUAUUUCCCAAAUCUAGCUCCAUGCUCCUGCCCUGACUUAAGUCAGGGAAUACUUGGUAUGUAGUAGCAUUUAUUAUUUCACGUUCAAAAUAUCUCAAAGCCUUGAAAACUGUAACGUAUUAAACGGAAAUUUGGUAGGCAUUGCUUCGCACAAUCCCAUGAUGCCAGCUUGCUAGCAUGGAUAUGCCCAGGGCACCCUACCAGAUGCUGGACACAAAAGCUCAACAUGGUAGUUCUUCCCUGCAAGGGUUCACAGCCCAGUGGAGGAGAUCGUCAGGUGAGUAAAUCAUCCUACUGUACAGCCACGAUGUGCAGAGGACUCAGAGGAGGGAGUGAAACUGCCACUCCCAGGCCCAUGUCUCAGACCAACCCUUCCCCUCCAGCCAGUUGUGUAGACUGCACCUCUUCUCUCCCUCCUCAGUGAAUACAGGCUAAGGAACGCAGGCUUCUCUUACCCAGGUUCCCUGAACUGCUUUUUUUAGCCCAUCUCAUCUUCUUCUGGUUUUGUUCAAUUUUCUGCCAGCUUUUUUAUCCGGCUCACUUAUCUCCCUUUAUCCCUCAGAACCAUCUCCAGUAAUUCCAUUGACUGGCAGGACAUUUUUCCAUCAGAGAGUAGAGCUGAGCUGCUGCAGUGCCACGGCCACCUCCCAGCAACAACCCCUCCGACCCCAGCAGACCCACUACCUGGCUCUUUCGGUCAGUGGGGACUUUUCAGAUGGUAUCUCUUUUAUUUUAGCUUUUUAAUUUCUGGCUGCCAGGCUUUCUUUUCUUAACUACGUUUGGAGCAGCAUUUUGCACAUCACAGAAGCCAUGCCAGUUUUAAGGUGAGUUAGGAUUCUGCAGGGGAAUCCCAUUAUUUUGAUUCCCUCAUCAAAGCAGGGCUAAGUUUAACCCCUUGCAAAUAUGAAAAUGAAAAGGACAGAGGAGUGUAUUGUCAUGGAAAAGGCACCAAAUUAGUCACCAGGGAACUGGACACAGGUCCCGGCCCCACAACUGACUCUGCCAUGGGAUUUUAGGCAAGACACCUCACCUUUCUGACUCCAAAAUAGUAUGCCUGUUAGUCUUCCUCAUGAUGAAGUUGGAAGAAUCAAAUAUAUUGACUGCUAUAAACAUACCUCAUAAACUGUAAAGCACUGUUCAGUCAACUUAAAGACCCAUGCCAAACCUAGGGACACUGGGCAGCAUGUCCUUCUGAAUAAGCACAUAAGCUCCAUGAGAGCAAGGAUUGGGUCACCUCUUGCUCGCUAUUUACUCCCAGUGCUUAGCACCUGGAAGGAAGGAAGGGAGGGAGGGACAGGGGGAGAAAAUUAUGCACCCAAGGGGUCUGAAAUGUUAGGUCCUUCCACAUGUUUGUGAAGCCCAUCACCUGCUGGUAGGAGUAAAAAUAUCUCAAACACAAUAAAUAUCUUUCCCGAAUUAGCAUCUAUGAAUUGAAUCCCAUUUGUGUGAGAAGUGAAAAGGCUGAAGUUUCCACUUUUCAAUCAACGGUAAAAGUCCUGACCUAAUGCAAUGUCGCAGAGACUGUUCGUUUGCACAAGCCAAUAUAAUAAUAGCAAUAGCUUACAUUUUUAUAGUUCUUUACAGUUUAUCAAGCAUUUUCAAGUAUCUGACCUCAUUCUGAUCUUCAAAAUCUCAUAUAAGUAGGUAGGGUAAAUUAACCCUGUUUUACAGAUGACGAAACUAGGGCUCGGAGGAGCGCAGAAACGUACACCAAAUCACGAGGCCUGUAAGUGGCAGAGCUGGGAUUUGGGCAGGUUCUCUUGGCACCUUGGCUUCUUCAGCUGCUAAUGAAGACAGUAAUGAUGAUGCUCCCAUUGUUAAGCUGACAGCUCUGGAGCCACCCAAACCAAUAUGAUUUCCUCUUUAUUUUGCUAGAAUUAUGGUUAUUCUGAAUCCCUGGAGAGUAGAGUAGGUCCUCUCCUCAUAAAAUAAGGACAAAAAAUUCUUUUCAGGAAAGGAAGGCUACACAGUUGGUCAAUAAUCACAUUUUUAAUGACUUCAUUAGUCAUCAAUCAAUUGAAACAGCAACAAUGAUGCAUCAUUUCCUCCUAUCAAAUUAGAAACAAUAAAAUUAAUGUUGAUAAGGAUGUAGUAAAACCAGUGUAUAUGUUCAAUGCUGGUGGCCUUGUAUACUGCUACAAACUUUUAGAAGCUACUUGGCCACAUGCCUCAAGAGCCAUGAAAUUGUUCACACUCUCUGAAGCAGUAAUCUUACAUCUGGGAAUCUAUCCUAAGGAAAUAAUGAACUAGAGAAAGAAAAAAAAAUACCUUCCUAGGGCCUGGUUGUUGAUUUCUCCCUUGGAUAGCAAUGAGAUAUCAUGGUAUCUUUUUCAUAAAUUUCCUAUUUGUUUAAGCUCAUUCCAGCUGGUUCCUGUUACCUGGCACCAGAACCAUCAUUACAAAAGCCCACAUACAGAGAGCUAAUAUAAAUAUUAAUAUCUUCCCUUCCCUUGCUUCAAACUUGACCUCAAUUGACAUUUCCAGCUUCACAGCCUGGUAUCCCAUCCCUCCAUACCCCCAUCAAUCUCAAAGCUCCGGUCAAGUCAAAUGUCUCACAGUUGACCAGACGGGCCAUGAAUCAGCAUGUUCUGAGCUUUAGUUAGGAUCAGAAUCACCUGGAAGGCUGGUUAAAACACACACCCUUGUGCACACACACACACACACACAAAACACACACACACACAUACACACACACCACACCUUUCACUGGCUUUGAGAACCACUGGUUUAAGCAACAGUCUACCUCUGGCAAAAUCAUCUAGUCCUUCAAGUCCCAGCUCCUCCCUGCUUUUUGCAGCCAUCUCCAAUCACACCAGACUGAACUAAUUACUUGUCCCCUGUGUUUCUUUGGGGCAAGAAAAGCACCUAUUACACUGUAUAAUGAGGGUUAAUUGUAUAAUGGAUGCCAGCUCCCUGCUUAUCAGGAGUAUCUGGAGGGCAGGCCCCUGGCUUCAUUGCCUCUGUGCCCCCAGAGCUAGCACAAUGCUUGGCACAGAGUAGCCAUAUGUGCAUGUACGACUGAAUUAUUCCUUGCUCCCUCCCUCUAUAGGAAGUUAUGGUUUAUUCCUGUUUCCACAGGAUCCAUUAGCAUAUUGAAUAGCUAUUUUUAAAAAACAAUGAUUAGCCAUGAUAGCAAAAGAAGAAACAUGAACAGAGCUUAUUCGUUUGCCAGGCUAGUAAAUAUCAUCUUGCUUUGCUUUCUAAACUCCUUAAUGAAAACAGUGGCUCUCAGGCAAAUAAAUAAAACAUUAGGUAGACAACACACAGCACAUCACAAGCACAGUCCACUAAUUUGCCUAUUGCUGAAGGACAUUAGCCACCUUUGAGAUAAUCUCCAUAAACAUACUGCCCCAUCUCCCUCUCUCAAACAUGAAUUGUAUCAAGCUAAAUUUUUAAUGUUUUUCAAUGUCUUAUAUAUAUUUCAUUUCAACAACAUUUUUUAAUAGUAAGAUAUCCAUCUUAAUCAAAUGAAAGCUGUUUUUCUGUAAUUGUCCUAAAAGCCAAUUCAUUUUCUGGAAAAACAUCUUCUUGAAUCACAAGUGGCCGGGCUAAACAGUGUUCUCAGAAUAUUAAUGUGAAACUUAAGCUAUUAACAUGUCAUGGUUAACCUUUCUAAAAGCUAAUUAAAUUAAAAUAAUAAUAUGUGGAAUGCUUUUACAGAAAGGUAAGGCUCUUUUACAAAGCACCUGUUCCAAGUCUCAGAGCUAACACCUUAUGAAGCCAUGGUGGGAAAAAGGUUUUGCAGGCAGACAAAGAAAGCCUGGCUUUGCACCUGCUGUGAUUAACUUUUAGUUGUUGGUAUUAGAGUUAAUUAUUGCAGCAUGCUGGAGGGCAGUGACAAUUUACUUGCCUGAUCAUACCUAAUAAGAUGUAUUUGCGGAUGCCAGCAUCUCCUGGACUUAAUCAACAAACUAUCAAGACAAUCAAUGCUGUUAGGCCCCAUGUCCUUGUGAUAGUUUUUUCCAAAUAAAAAAGAUAAAAAUCCAAGGAUGCAGUGCUAAGGAUAUAGGCAGGCUGCUUAGAAAGCCUCCGUUAGCUAGCGUCAGGCUUAUCUCCCUCCCUGAGUGGCUAGAUCUAUUAUGCAGGAGGGUUAGUGCACCCUAAGGCCCGAUUCAAUUGGGAGCAAAGUUCAAGGCAACCACACCAGGUACAAGGAAAUUAAGCUCUGAGAACUCCAGCACUUCUUGGUAACUGAGCUCUGGAAGGCUUCAAAUGGGCCCUUUCUACUUUAUCUUCUAUGGGAAAAGGUUGUUAUACCCAAGGCGCUAUACCCUCUUCCUGCUACACAAGGAGGGAGUUUCUGUUCCUUUAUUUGAUAAUCUAUGCUUGAAUCCAUGGAAUACAUUUUUAAAGGAAAGAAACUAGCUAUGACAUAAGACAGGUUGGCAAAUUCCAUAAAACAACAUGCUUUAGUUUCAACUCUGUUCCUUUUUAGGCCCCAACAAAUUAGCAAAACUCCUAUGAGAGGACUGGGGUCAUGUGUGGGCACACAAAAUAAGGAGGGUGCUACCACCUAGAGGGAUCUCAUACAGGUAAUGGAGAGGUGCAGGUGACAGCAAUCAGCAGCCUGGGGGCACUGAAAAUAGAACUAAGACUGUCUUUGACUCAUAAGUCAUCCAUCCUGAAUAAUGAAAGAAGACCAACAUUCAGCAUGAUCACCUAGAUCUCUAACGUCUUUUAUUCAUCCAUUCAUUCACUCAACACAUGUAUUUGUUGAAUUCCUCCUUCAUGCCAGGGACUGUGCUGAACAUGUUCCUGAUUUCACUAAAUGUGAGCUGUGCAAUCUUGAGCUCUAGCAGUUUGCACAAGGUCUAGCUGGAAAAAACUGCUUUAUGACAAUGUUGGGGAUCUUUGUUGACUCCCAGCCUUCCAAAAAUAUCAAUACCCCAGAUAUGACAAGUAUCAUUUCCAUUCACAUUCCAUUGGUGAGAACCAGUCAUGUGGUCACACCAACUGCCAGGGAGACUGGAAAAUGUAGUCUUCAUUCUAUGUUCAGCUAAAAUUCAGGGGUUCUGUUACCAUGUGAAAGAAGGGAAAAACCAAUAUUAAAUGUCUCUGCUUUUGUAAUAUAUUUUGUAAUAUAAGACACUACAAAAGAUGUAGUGUCUUAAUCACACUGAUGAGUCAAGAAUUCUGGGCAUCUCCAUAGACCAGAGAGAUGGAGGAAUGGCCAGGAGCCAAGAGCCAUGUAGGUAGAUUUCUCAAAUGGGAUCCAAGCCCACUUCAGGGCCAGGGCUUCAGAGUUAGAGACAGGUCUCUGGCCCUUAAAGAACUGACAGGUGAUCCAUGUUGGCAUCACCAUUCAUAAAAACUUCACAAAAGACAGUUCUCUGUCCUGUUUUGAAAUAAGUGGACCUUUUAAAGUAUCAGGGAAGAAAAACUUUUCUUCUAUCCUCUUAGGUUCAGUGAUUUGGGGGUCUAUGAAUAAAACCAACAAAAGACAGACUGGCAAAAGAAAAGACAAUGUUUAUUCAUGUAUGUACUUGGGAGCUCACAAAGAAAGUGGCUCAAAGAAGCUGUUAGAACUUGGAGCUUAUAUACCAUUUUAACAAGGAGAAGGGGUUAGGGUUUCAAGGGACAACAAAUGGUGGGAAAUGACUGAGAAAUAUAUAAAGAAACCAACGGAAGGCAAGUGAAGUGGUAAAUUUUAUGCGUCAACUUGACUGGGUCAAACGGUACCCAGAUAAUUGGUUGCAUGUUAUUUCUGGGUGUGUCUGUGAGGGUGUUUCCAGAUGAGAUUAGCAUUUGAAUCAGUGGACUCAGUAAAGCAGACUGCCCUUCCCAACAGGAGUGGGCACCAUGCAAUCCGGUGAAGGUCUGGAUCAAACAAAAAGGCAGAGGAAAGGAGAAUUUACUCUCUCUACCUGGCUACUUGAACUGAAUAUUCAUCUCCUGCCCGCAGACUAGGACUUACACCAUCAGCUCCUCUAGUUCUCAGGCCUUCAAAUUUAGGCUAGAGCCAUCAGUUCUCCUGGUGUUCAGGCCUUUGGGCUGUAUGGCAGAGGGACCUGACAGCCACAAUUGAAGCAUGGCCUAAGAGUGACCCUAUGGUCUAAGAAGAAUAUGUGUUCAGAGUCUCAAGCUAAGGAAUUCAGGAGUGGCCAAUGUAAAGACUCACUCCUUAUGUAUAAAGGACAUCUGAACCCCUGGCCUAUCCCUUGGAAUACAAGCUGUAUAAGGAAUUGAGGCCCUUUGUUUUGGGUUAAAUGGAGGUUGCUAGGUGAAGGUUGCUGGUUGGAGGGUGCUAAGUGAAAAUGCUAUAUAAACUGCAUGCUUUUUACAAAUGGUAGUGGUUCUCCUGUCCCGCCUACCACCACUGGACCAUCCCUGUAUGUAAAUCAUGCCAAUAAACCCUAUGUCUUGUUCUCUGUCUCUAGGUCUCUUCCUUGGCCUCUCAGACAUGUUGCCAUUUCUAUCAGAGCCAAUAAGAGUCUGGCAUGCCGUGGCCUCUGACUAGAACUAUACUACCAGCUAUCCCAGGCUGUAGCUUGCAGACAGCAGAUCAUGGGACUUCUCAGCCUCCACAAUCACAUCAAUCAAUUCCUUAUAGUACAAUAAGGCUUAUUUUAAUAAGGUGUGUUUAUGCAUCCAGUGUCAACUUCUCAUCUCUGGUGACAGGAGUCACCCCUUCUGCCUGGUACUUCCUUAAAGCAGGAUUCAUGAUAGCAGAAUUCUUUUGGAAGGUUCUGCUUUUAGGCAGAUGAGGGAGUGCAGAGAAAGGCUCUUCCUGAAUCUGUUGAUUCUCAAAUGCCUUUCACUCAAAAUAAUAUUUAUGUCAUGUGGCAUAUUCUGAUCCCUUCCUUGGUCACACCCAAAUUUUAUGGACUCAAAUACUUUGAAAGAAAAAAGAAAGGACGGAAAAAAGGAAAGAAGAAAGGAAAAACAGAAGGAAGAAAGGAAGGCACUGGCUAUGAUAAAACAUUUUUCAGGUGAUGUAUGAAUUUUAGAAAAAAAUACAUUUACAUACCCAAAACUAGGGCAUUAUUUUUAACCAAACAAUGUAAUGUAUGGAAAAGACAAGUUAAAUUCCACAUUCAAUUGGUAGGAUUUCAUAUUCAGUGUGAGCCAUUCUCUCCCUGUGCUGUGCUUGCUCCAAACAUAUUUCCACAGACUUGGAUAAUUUACCUUGAUUUUUGCUUAGUAUUGUAAAACGUCCCCAAAAUUUGAGAAAGCAUAGGAAAAAAACUUGUAGAAGCAAGUAAAACCAGAGAGGAAAGCCAUGACACAGGAAGAGAAGAUAUUACUGCCCACAAAGCAGCUGUUUGUCAACAAUCACAUUAGUGGUCUGGGAUCAUGAAGGAAUGUUUUAAGCAUUUUACACCCUAAUAUAAGUUUUUUAGUUACAUAUAGGCAUUUUUCUAUGUUUUCAGAAAUUGGCUAAGGAUUUGGGGUUGAUGCAUACCAUUUUGUAAUUUUUCCCAUUUCAAAUAAUAGGAAACAGCUCUGGUUAGCAUUUUUGUGCACAACAUCUGAUUUUAGGAGGGGAUGACUAAUAUUAAGUGGGAGGUGUCUGUAUUUUAGGAACUGGAUAGGAAAUUGUAUUCUCUUUACUUGCUCAACAUCCAUUUAACAAGCAUUUACCGAGUACUACAGUGAGCCAGGCAUUGUGCUGAGUGCUGAGCAGACAGCAGUGGAAAGUCUUCAUCCUUGGCUAAAAGGAUCUAGUCUAGUAAAUGAGACAGAGUGAGAGUUGUGAAAGGGGGCAUGGCAGGCACUAAUCCAGCUACAGGAGCCCAGGAGAGACUGAAACUAACUUUGCAAAAUCAUGGCAGUAAGAGAAAUCUAACAUAGUUGACUCCAUCCUGCUUCUAACCUCCAAGCUCUCCUUGGUCAUUCCUGAGCAUAGACCAACCAACUUCAGGAGCAAUUUAGUUUAUAGUUUAAUCUUAAAGCAAGAAUGAUAAUAGCCCUUCCCAAAACUAAACUGCCUUUGCAAAACUAAUGAAAGUCCUUCAUUCUGCUAAGAUGUAAGCAUAGUUAAAUGACAACUAGCUAUUGUUCUGGAGGUUACAACAUUUGUAACGUUUCCCAUUACUCCUGUAGAUAACAUAACUAUUGUAGAACCUACGAUUGGCUUUUUGAGAUGUCUUUUUAGAGUUCUGCAUUUCUGACUACUGGCUGACUCCACCUGGACCAGCAACUUGUGAUUCAACCGGUCCUGUGACCCCCUCCACCCAGAGGGGGCUCAGUGCAUAAGGACCAUUUUCCACACUCCUAUGAUUUCAUCCCCAACCAAUCAACAUUCCCCAUUCCCUAGCCCCUUGCCCACCAAACUAUCCUUGAAAACUAUCCUUGAAAACCUCUAGCCUCAGAGCCUUCAGGGAGACUGAUUUAAGUAAUAACUCUAUCUCCCACCUGGUUGGCCUCACGUCAAUUAAACUCUUUCUUUACUGCUAUACCAUUGUUUCGAGGAACUGGUUUUGUCUGUCAGCAAGCCAGAAGAACUCACAGGGCAAUUACAAGAUGAAUAAGAGUUACCGGGGUGAAAGUAGGGGACCAAGUACACUAGGCAGAGGGAGCAGCCUGUGCAAAAGCCCAGAGACAGAGAGCAAGGCAGCUGAAUCUGGCAUCACCAAGCCCCAGUGGAUGAGCAGUGCAGAUCCUCCCACUUACAACAUCCCCACUGGGCCCCAAGAAAGAGGCUGAAAUUUCCAGUUCCUCUCCAUAUCCUCUACCCACACACUCCUGACACUCAUCGUCUUCAUAGGCUACUUCAGGCACAAAACUGUGAAUGAGCUCUAAAAUGUGGUUUCCUCAUCUAUAAAAUGGGAUAAUAAAGUUUUAUCUUAUAGAGUUAUUGUAGGUAUUGAAUAGGUUGAUAUACAUAAAGCGCUUUUCACCAAUGUCUAGCACAUUUUCAGUGUUAUAUAUUAGCUAUUCAUUGUUAGCUAGAGGCCCUGAAAAUGUGUCGCAGUGAAGCCAGAGGUCCCUGAGGUCAGGCUGGGGAUAUCAAGUCCCAGGUUUUCUGCCCACCCACCUCCUCUUCCAAAUAAGGCAAAUGCACUUUUUUUUUUUUUUUUGGCCCACCAUUGUGCAGUAAAACUGCAUCCUACAUAGAUUUAACUUAAGCAAAUUCAAGAAUGCCCAGCUGGCUGGAUGAGACUGGGAGAAAAAUAACUUCAAUACUGCCAGUCCUACUCCAUUCUCUGAGAGCAAAUGCCCCAGGUGAACCUGGAGGAGAGGGAGAACAGGCACUCCCCUCCAGCCACAGUUUUCCCCACCUUUCCCCGGUCUAAGCAGCUUGACGUAUACUUUGUUAAAGGAUUUUCAAGCCUAAUUGUGACUACCUGCAAUUUUCACCCCACAAGCCGACUUUAAAACCUAACUCUUGCUAAAAAGAAGACACUCCAGCACCUCUGUCCGCUUAGCAUCAAGUAAAUUCCAAUCAAAUUAGAAAUCUUGAAGGCUUUCUGAGAGCUGGUCUUUACUUUAAACAGUUUAAAUCACCCCUAAGCUUAGCCUGAGGAGUAGGAUUAAAGCCUCCCUGAUGUGGAAAAAAACAAAAGAAGGAACUGUGAUUUACUGCCUAAGCCACCACCCUUAGCUUCCCCCACCACACUCUCCAGGUAAAAUCUGCUUCCGUUCUGCCUACUACCGUAGGCUAAAAAGAGAUCACCGGUCCUGAGACUCUAGUCACAUGGAUGCGCAGCAGGACAGGCACAGAGCUCCGCAGCUUGAAACAUAGAUGCUUGUAGCUCACAAGCCCACAAGUCCACCAGCCCGCCACAUCUCUUGAAGCUCAGGCAGGUACGUUCGCCCCGCUGGCUUUAAUUUCAAAAUCCAGCACAAUCACUGAAAAACUAGAGCGAUUUGCUCUUUCAGCUAUGCACAAUUUUCAUCAGCAGUCUCCAGUGGCUACAAUCUCAGGCAGGCUUUUACCACCUUUUCUCGUCCUCUCUAUACCAACACAUAUUCUGGAGAAAUGGUUUUUCUAAUGGCCUGUGGAGGUCUGCCUGUGUUUUGAGGCUUUGUCUGGGCACCAAGUCCAGCAGAUACAAUUCUCUUUCCUGAGUCAAGCAUUUAUAAAGAGCUGUGAUCUCAGAUUUCAGCUUGCUUCUGUCUUCCUUCUUACUCCUGAAAUCUGAUCAUCCCUUUUGUCUUUCUACCACAAUUAUAUAUUGAAAGAAAAACAUGAAGAUGCAAGAGUAUGCAGGGACAUGUGUAAGUGAUUCUCUGCAAGUGUUAAACACAGGGUGUAAUUACAGCUGGAAGGCAGUGCCUUGUGGGAGAAAAGACAAAAAAAGAGGUGGGGGGGGAUAUUCUUUAUAAAAUGUUCUUGUCUUUAUUUUUAAGCUUGAUGCUCACAUCUCACUUUCUAACACACACGGACAAAGAAUAUACUCAUGUACAAGCAAAAAUACUCAUAUAUGCACAUGUGCACAAACACACACAGACAAUGUAGUAUUUUAGAGACCCUUGGUCUUUUAUUCUUUUCAGCAAAUGAACAAUUAGCCUCAAUAGUCAAAUAAACAUCAGAAGAUGAGGGUUUUUCCCCCUUCCUCUGCUGUUACAAAAUAUAGCAACAAAGUGGGGCAAAGUAGCAUGAAACCUGAAGCAGCUCACACAGAAGGACUCAAGAGAAUAGGAUCUUCCAAAUGGAAGUUUCAGUUAGCUUCAGUGUUCUCAGAAUUGCAUCUCCUAAAUUUUGAUUCCAAAAGGGAAAUUCCCUAUGGCCCAGCAGGCCCAUACAAUCAAUUUUCCACAUUAUUUGUGUAAAUAUCUGUCCUGUUGCAUAUUCUGGAAGAAGUGACAGUUUCAAAAUGAGACUUGCCAACACACCCCCUUGUCCCAAACAAUAAGAAUCAGCAGAACAUCCCUAUCAGCCCUCUCAAUUUAUUCUUCAUCAGAAGCCAGUGGAAAAGGAAUUCAGCAAAGUGAGAUCCCCAACUGCACAAAGCACUAACCUAAUCACACCCAAAGGAAAAUGAGAGAAGAGUUUGACCUAGAGAGUCUUAAAUUAGUGGGCACACUCAGAGACUCAGGGGAAUUUUAGCUAGGCAAGCCACCAAUAAUUUAGAGAGAGGUGGCUCUAAUGAAGGGUCCAGGCUGCAGGGCAUGGUAGACAAUCUUUCAAGGCAAAGGCUCUGGGCCACGUGACCUGUCCAUGGCACAGUGGGUGUGUCAAGCACAGUGAAGUGUACAGAAGGUGUCUGACUUAUGCUGCUUUGAUGUACAAUUUUUCAGCUUUACAAUGGUGGAAAAGCAGUAUGUGUUCAGUAGAAACUGUACUUUGAGUACCUAUAAAACCAUUCUGCUUUUCACUUUCAGGAGAUAUUCAAUAAACUACAUGAGAUAUUCAACACUUUAUUAUAAAAUUAGCUUUGUGUUAGAUGAUUUUGCCCAACUGUAGGCUAAUGUAAGUGUUCCCAGCAUGUAUAAAGUAGGCAAGGCUAAGUUAUGAUAUUUGGUAGGUUAGGUGUAUUGAUUGCACUUCGACUUACAAUAUUUUCAACUCAUGAUGGGUUUAUCAGAUGUAACCCCUUCAUAAGCUGAUAUGGUUUGGCUGUGUACACCCAAAUCUCAUCUUGAAUUCCCACGUGUUGUGGGAGGGACCCAGUGGGAGAUGGUUGAAUCAUGGGAGCAGUUUCCCCCAUACUGUUCUCAUGGUAGUGAAUGAGUCUCACGAGAGCUGAUGGUUUGAUAAGGGGAAAUCUGUUUUGUUUGGCUCUCAUUCUCUCUCUUUGCCUGCUGCCAUCCAUGUAAGAUGUGACUUGUUCCUCCUUGCCUUCUGCCAUGAUUGUGAGGCUUCCUCAGCCAUAUGGAACUGUAAGUCCAAUUAAAUGUCUUUCUUUUGUAAAUUGCCCAGUUUUGGGUAUGUCUUUAUCAGCAGCGUGAAAAAGGACUAACACAUAUAAGCCAAGAAACACCUGUACAUGUGUUUCUUGCUUUAGAAAGCAGGAAGGCAAUUAGGCUUUAUUUUACAUGAAUCUACAAUGUUGGUGAAACCUGCUCUUCCAACAUCCUGCGGGCUCCUGGAAUGGACUCUGAUUAGGCAUAAAAUGAGGCAUAGCCACACACAAUGACUUUAUCUGGAAUACUGCUCACCUCCAUGUCCCUCCUACCCUGCAAGAAUGGGAAGUAGACUCAUUAGCAUCAUUUAAAAAUGGUCUCCUGGCUGGGUGCAGUGUCUCAUGCCUGUAACCCCAGCACUUUGGGAGGCCGAGGCAGGUGGAUCACGAGAUCAGGAGAUCGAGACCAUCCUGGCUAACACAGUGAAACCCUGUCUCUACUAAAAAUACAAGAAAUUAGCCAGGCAUGGUGGCGGGCACCUGUGGUCCCAGCUACUCAGGAGGCUGAGGCAGGAGAAUGGCGUGAACCCGGGAGGCGGAGAUUGCAGUGAGCCGAGAUUGCGCCACUGCAUUCCAGCCUGGGCGACAGAACGAGACUCCGUCUCAAAAGUAAAAAUAAAAAUAAAAAUGGUCUCCUUGCUUAUGUGUUCACUUGCUCUUUCCUCUCUUUCCUGGAGAGAUGAUAGCAAUUGC
rnacentral:lncRNA from 1 species